rnacentral:rRNA from 1 species
GACGGAGGGGGCAAGCGUUGUCCGGACUCACUGGGCGUAAAGGGUGCGUAGGCGGUUUGGUGCGUCGGCGCUGAAAUCCGUGGGCUUAACCCACGGGCGCGUGCCGAUACGACCUGACUUGAGGCUCGGAGAGGGUGGGAGAACUCCUGGUGUAGUGGUGAAAUGCGUAGAGAUCAGGAAGAAUACCUGUGGCGCAAGCGCCCACC